rnacentral:misc_RNA from 1 species
UGUGGAUCCAAAUCGAUUCUUCACUGAACGAAGUAAACGAUGAGAUGAACACUUCUCUCCUUCCAUAUAGAGAACAACAUCAACUAUGUGUUCCAAGACUCGAGGACCAGCUAUUUCUCCAGAUUUAGUCACAUGUCCAAUCAGAAACACAGGGAUAUUGGUCUUCUUGGCAAACCGCAGCAACACUUCUGUGCAUUCUUUUACCUGCGAUAGACCACCUGCACUUCCAGUUACUCCUCUCAGAUAUACUGUCUGGAUGGAAUCAAUUACCAAAGCUCGCAGUGGGAGAGUUUGGGUCUUUUCCAAAAUAUCCUCAACAUCUGUACUCGCAUAUAAAAAUAGUUCAUCUGUCCCGAUUCUCAUCCGAUCUGCUCUGUUCCCAAUUUGCUCAAUACUCUCUUCCCCAGACACAUAGAGAACUGGUGCUGGUCCCCCCAUAUCACACCCCUCUGCAACUAUGGCUGCAAUCUGUAAAAGUAAUGUGCUCUUACCAACACCCGGAUCACCGCCAAUUAAAACUAAGCAACCUGGCACAAGACCACCACCAAGUACUCUUCCUACUUCAGCUCCAAAAAGGCCAGACAGAGGUAUUCGCCAAUUCGAUUGAUUAAUCCCCUUAUUCACAUCCGUCAAUUUCGUGGGCAAAGCUCUAACAGACUGAUGAGGCAGCCACGACCUUGUCACAUUCUCUAAAACCUCAAACCCACUCGUGAGAUGCUCUACACCUUCAGAAAACCGCUUCAUAGUAUUCACCCCAUUACACUGCUUACAUAUCCCCCACCACUGUCCAUCAUCAUACCCACAAUCAGAACACACCCACACUGUUUUACUCUUGCCUUUCCCCUUCUUCUUGUUCCCAUUCCCUGUAACCUCAUAAACCCUACUCUUUGAACCCAAAACAUUGGAGUAAUUUGCACUCGAUUUAGACUCCCUUUGCGGAACAUUCUCACCACUAGGGUUUUCUCUAGCAGCUGAAGGAGCGGCCCAGCCCUGUACGGCGUCGUUGGUGAGAGCUGUGGACUCUUCAGGGAAGUGUUUCCGGCGAGUAAAGUGAAACUGGCGAGAAGUGUUUAUGAUAGUGAAACGGAGAGAUGAAAGGGGGUUCGUUGGGGGGAGAUUGAGCAAGUGUUUUUGGAAACGGAGAGCUCUUAGUGCUUGCAUGUUUGGUACUUGCAUUUACAGAGAAAAUGGAGGAUUCCGGGAGUUUUAUAGGCG